GCCGGGUGCUGUGGCACACACCUGUAAUCCCAGUAGCUUGGGAGGUUAAGACAGGAGGAUCACCAGUUCAAAGCAGUCUUAGCCACUUAGCGAGGCCCUAGCAACUCAGUGAGACCCUGUCUCUA
rnacentral:sRNA from 1 species